AGGUCAAGCUACAAAGGGCGCAUGGUGAAUGCCUUGGCAUCAGGAGCCGAUGAAGGACGCGAUAAGCUGCGAUAAGCUUCGGGUAGACGCACAUAGUCAGAGAUCCGAAGAUUUCCGAAUGAGGAAACUCACAUGGGAAACCCCAUGUAUCGUAAAGUGAAUACAUAGCUUUAUGAAGGUAAACCCAGGGAACUGAAACAUCUAAGUACCUGGAGGAAGAGAAAGAAAAAUCGAUUUUCUUAGUAGCGGCGAGCGAAAGGGAAAGAGCCCAAACCAAAGAUUUAUCUUUGGGGUUGCGGACAGAACAUUAACGAGAAAUUAUGGUUAACCGAACACAACUGGAAAGUUGGACCGUAGGGGGUAAUAGUCCUGUAGGUGAAAAUUAUAAUUAUCAAGUUCUGAUCCAGAGUACCACGAGACACGUGAAACCUUGUGGGAAGCAGGGAGGACCACCUCCCAAGGCUAAAUACUACCUGAUGACCGAUAGUGAAGCAGUACCGUGAGGGAAAGGUGAAAAGAACCCCGGGAGGGGAGUGAAAUAGAACCUGAAACCAUGUGCCUACAACCGAUCAAAGCACCUUAUGUGUGUGAUGAUGUGCUUUUUGUAGAACGAGCCAACGAGUUACGGUAUGUAGCAAGGUUAAGUACUUAAGGUACGGAGCCGAAGGGAAACCGAGUCUUAAUAGGGCGACUAGUUGCAUGCUGUAGACCCGAAACCGGGUGACCUAUCCAUGGCCAGGUUGAAGCGAGGGUAAAACCUCGUGGAGGACCGAACCACGUUGCUGUUGAAAAAGCAUGGGAUGAGCUGUGGAUAGCGGAGAAAUUCCAAUCGAACUCGGAUAUAGCUGGUUCUCCUCGAAAUAGCUUUAGGGCUAGCGUCGGAAAAUGUGAGUACUGGGGGUAGAGCACUGAAUGGGCUAGGGGGCAUAGCGCUUACCGAACCUUAUCAAACUCCGAAUACCAGAUACUAUCAGUCCGGCAGUCAGACUGCGAAAGAUAAGUUCCGUAGUCAAAAGGGAAACAGCCCAGAUCGUCAGCUAAGGUCCCAAAGUGUAAGUUAAGUGGAAAAGGAUGUGGGAUUUCUAAGACAACUAGGAUGUUGGCUUAGAAGCAGCCACUCAUUAAAAGAGUGCGUAAUAGCUCACUAGUCAAGAGAUCCUGCGCCGAAAAUGUCCGGGGCUCAAACUUACCACCGAAGCUACGGGUUCACACAUUAGUGUGAGCGGUAGAGGAGCGUCGUAAUCGGGCUGAAGUCGUACCGUAAGGAGCGGUGGACUGAUUACGAGUGAGAAUGUUGGCAUUAGUAGCGAGAUGUGGGUGAGAAUCCCACAGGCCGAAUACCUAAGGUUUCCUCAGGAAGGUUCGUCCGCUGAGGGUUAGUCGGGACCUAAGCUGAGGCCGAAAGGCGUAAGCGAUGGACAAUCGGUUGAUAUUCCGAUACCACUAUUAUCGUUAUUAUCGAUGGUGUGACGGAGAAGGAUAGGAUGUGCUAGCUAUUGGAUGCUAGUCUAAGCGUUUAGGGAGUUAGAAUAGGCAAAUCCGUUCUAACAAUUCUGAGGCGUGAUGGGGAAGGUUCUAAGGAACCGAAGUAUCUGAUUCCAUGCUUCCAAGAAAAGCAUCUAGAAAGAGAAAUAGUGCCCGUACCGCAAACCGACACAGGUAGGUGAGGAGAGAAUCCUAAGGCCGGCGGAAGAAUUGCAGUUAAGGAACUAGGCAAAUUGACCCCGUAACUUCGGGAGAAGGGGUGCCUGCGAGAGCAGGCCGCAGAGAAUAGGCACAAGCAACUGUUUAACAAAAACACAGGUCUCUGCUAAAGCGAAAGCUGAUGUAUAGGGGCUGACGCCUGCCCGGUGCUGGAAGGUUAAGGGGAACACUUAGCGUAAGCGAAGGUGUGAACUUAAGCCCCAGUAAACGGCGGC
rnacentral:rRNA from 1 species